rnacentral:rRNA from 2 species
AGAGUUUGAUCCUGGCUCAGAACGAACGCUGGCGGCGCGCCUAAUACAUGCAAGUCGAGCGAGAAGGUGUAGCAAUACACUUGUAAAGCGGCGAACGGGUGAGGAAUACAUGGGUAAUCUACCAUCGAGUGGGGAAUAACCAACCGAAAGGUUGGCUAAUACCGCGUACGCCUCCGGAUCUUCGGGUUCGGAGGGAAAGCUGCACUGUGAGUGUAGCGCUCUUUGAUGAGCUCAUGUCCUAUCAGCUUGUUGGUAGGGUAACGGCCUACCAAGGCUUUGACGGGUAGCUGGUCUGAGAGGACGAUCAGCCACACUGGCACUGCGACACGGGCCAGACUCCUACGGGAGGCAGCAGUAAGGAAUAUUGCGCAAUGGGCGAAAGCCUGACGCAGCGACGCCGCGUGGGGGAUGAAGGUCUUCGGAUUGUAAACCCCUUUCGGGAGGGAAGAUGGAGCGAGCAAUCGUUCGGACGGUACCUCCAGAAGCAGCCACGGCCAACUUCGUGCCAGCAGCCGCGGUAAUACGAAGGUGGCAAGCGUUGUUCGGAUUCACUGGGCGUACAGGGUGUGUAGGCGGUUUGGUAAGCCUUCUGUUAAAGCUUCGGGCCCAACCCGGAAAGCGCAGAGGGUACUGCCAGGCUAGAGGGUGGGAGAGGAGCGCGGAAUUCCCGGUGUAGCGGUGAAAUGCGUAGAGAUCGGGAGGAAGGCCGGUGGCGAAGGCGGCGCUCUGGAACACACCUGACGCUGAGACACGAAAGCGUGGGGAGCAAACAGGAUUAGAUACCCUGGUAGUCCACGCCCU